rnacentral:rRNA from 1 species
UGGAAAUAUCAGAAAUGAAAAUGUUGGUAUGAGUAACGAUAAACAAUGUGUAAAACAUUGUCGCCUUAAGUUCAAGGUUUCCAAAACAAGGCUAAUCCGUUUUGGUAUUUAUUCGGUCUCUAAGAAAAAAAACGAAAGAUUUAGUUUGAUGAGAUAAAAAUAAUUUUUUUGAUUUUUAGAAGUGACAAAGUAUGAAUAUUAUUUUUAUUUUAUGGUUUAAAUAAAAGUUUUAUAGUAUUUUCUAGAAAAAGCUUCUUUAAACAAAUAGAACCGUACCCUAAACCGACACAGGUGAACAAGUUUAGUAAACUAAGGCGCUUGAGAGAAUUAUGUUGAAGGAACUCGGCAAAAUGACUCCGUAACUUCGGAAUAAGGAGUGACUUUAAAAGGGCAACCUUUUAGAGUUGUCACAAAAUCGGGGACAGCGACUGUUUAUUAAAAACACAGGUUUCUGCUAAUUCGUAAGAAGAUGUAUUGAAACUGACGCCUGCCCAGUGCUGCAAGAUUAAAGAAAAAGGUCUUUUGGCUUUGACCCUAACUCCCAGUAAACGGCGGCUGUAACUCUGACGGUCCUAAGGUAGCGAAAUUCCUUGGCAUUUAAUUGGUGUCCUGCAUGAAUGGCGUAACGACUGUCCCACUGUCUCCAACAUAAACUCAGUGAAAUUGAAAUUUUCGUGAAGAUGCGAAAUUCUUGCGGCUAGACGGAAAGACCCCGUGCACCUUUACUAUAGUUAUACAUUGUAAUAAAAUUUUUUUUGUGUAGUAUAAGUGGGAAGUUGUAAUUUUAGACAUUCACACAAGUGAAUUGUUUAAGAAUCAUUGAAAUACCACUCUAAAAAUUUUUUAUUACUUAUUUUUUAAGACAUUGUAUAAUGGGUAGUUUGACUGGGGCGGUCGCCUCCUAAAGAGUAACGGAGGCGUGCAUAAGGUAAGUUUGAAUUGAAAAUUAUCAAUUUGUAAGCAUAAUAGUAUAUACCUGCUUGACUGUGAGAUUGACAAAUCAAACAGGGACGAAAGUCGGUUAUAGUGAUCCGGUGAUUCUGAGUGGAAAGAUCAUCGCUCAACGAAUAAAAGGUACGCCGGGGAUAACAGGCUAAUCAUUCUCUAGAGACCCUAUCGACGGAAUGGUUUGGCACCUCGAUGUUGGAUUAUCGCAUCCUGGAGCUGUAAGUGGUUCCAAGGGUUUAGCUGUUCGCUAAGGAAGGCGGUACAUGAUCUGAGUUUAGAACGUCGUGAGACAGUUUGGUCCCUAUCUACCGCAAGUGCAAAAAAUUGAAAGGAGUAAACCCUAGUACGAGAGGACCGGGAAAAGUAAAUCCCUGGUGAAUCGAUUGUUAUACCAAUAGCAUAGUCGAGUAGCUACAUUUAUAAUAAAUAAUCGCUGAAAGCAUCUAAGUGAGAAAUUAACCUUAAUACAAAUUUUUUUUUAACUGUAAUAGAUUAUUACAUUGAUAGGCUUGGUGUGUAAGAGUUGUAAAAUUUUCAGCUAACAAGUACUAAAUAUAAAAUUUAAUCAACUUU